UACGUAGGGUGCGAGCGUUGUCCGGAAUUAUUGGGCGUAAAGGGCUCGUAGGCGGUUUGUCGCGUCGGGAGUGAAAUCCACUGGCUUAACUGGUGGCUUGCUUUCGAUACGGGCAGACUGGAGGUAUGCAGGGGAGAACGGAAUUCCUGGUGUAGCGGUGAAAUGCGCAGAUAUCAGGAGGAACACCGGUGGCGAAGGCGGUUCUCUGGGCCGUAACUGACGCUGGAGGAGCGAAAGCAUGGGGAGCGAACAGG
rnacentral:rRNA from 1 species